AUUGAACGCUGGCGGCAGGCCUAACACAUGCAAGUCGAACGAGUGGCGGACGGGUGAGUAAUGUCUGGGAAACUGCCUGAUGGAGGGGGAUAACUACUGGAAACGGUAGCUAAUACCGCAUACCAUCAGAUGUGCCCAGAUGGGAUUAGCUUGUUGGUGGGGUAACGGCUCACCACGGCGACGAUCCCUAGCUGGUCUGAGAGGAUGACCAGCCACACUGGAACUGGACAACGGCCAAAACCCCUAGGGAUGGCGGCGGUGGGAAAUAUUGCACAAUGGGCGCAAGCCUGAUGAAGCCAUGCCGGGUGUAGGAAGAAGGCCUUCGGUUUGUAAAGUACUUUCAGCGGGGAGGCGUUACCCGAAGAAGAAGCACCGUCUAACCCCGUGCCAGCAGCCCCGUUAAUC
rnacentral:rRNA from 1 species